UGGGCUAAAUCUGUGGCGACCGCUCCCGAAGGGAAGCUCCGUUUCGGGAGCGAUCGCCCGAGAUUUAGCCCGGGUAAGGUUCUUCGCGUUGCAUCGAAUUAAGCCACAUGCUCCACCGCUUGUGCGGGCCCCCGUCAAUUCCUUUGAGUUUCAUUCUUGCGAACGUACUCCCCAGGUGGUAUGCUUACUGCGUUAACUGCGUCACUGAACCCGAAAGCCCAACAACUAGCAUACAUCGUUUACAGCGUGGACUAC
rnacentral:misc_RNA from 1 species